rnacentral:lncRNA from 1 species
UUCCUUAUAGAAAAGCAUGCAAUUAUUACGAUAUGCAUCUAUCUUCUUAUAUCUUAUGUCUAAUCUCUUCACUAUUUUCUUUGAAGCAUAGAAACUCCCAACAAGUUUUUCAUCAUUCGGUAGCAUUUUUUUUAUGAUUGCUACCAUUCUAUCAUAAUAGUUGACCAUCAUAUUAAAUUUAGCCUUCAAGUUCAACAAC